CGGGGUAUAGCCCAGUGGUAGUUAUCUCGACUGCAGAUCGAGAGGUCCCUCAAGGUUCAAAUCCGGGUGCCUCUG